rnacentral:rRNA from 1 species
AGUAGAGUGGCGGACGGGUGAGUAACGCGUAGGAACCUACCUGGUAGCGGGGGACAACCUGGUGAAAACCAGGCUAAUACCGCCUACGCCCUACGGGGGAAAGCAGGGGAUCUUCGGACCUUGCACUAUCAGAUGGGCCUGCGUCGGAUUAGCUAGUUGGUGAGGUAAUGGCUCACCAAGGCGACGAUCCGUAGCUGGUUUGAGAGAAUGAUCAGCCACACUGGGACUGAGACACGGACCAG